GAGCAAAGUUAUAAAUAGGCCGAACAUCACAGCUUAUAUUUCACUAACCUUUGUCUCGGUGUGGGUUUGGGGCGGCGACGUCCUUCUGUUAUUGUCUCCUGGUUCUGGUUCUGGUUCUGUCUCUUCCCCGGUCCUCAUCUGGUACUCCAAUGUUGCCGGAUGUGUAUAUAAUUAUUUCAAAAGUUUAUUGUAAAUAAAUAAAAAAUAUUGUUAUAUUUAUUGGUGGCAGUCAAGGCUGUUGUUGUCCUUCAAUAGCAUGAUAACGAGUUAGUCCCAACGGGUCCCUUCCAGUCCUCUGUCAGUCAAAGCCUGGACAUGUAAUGUUCCCAGUCUGUCUCUUUCUGUCUCCUGUUCUUCUCAUGGACCUGAGAGGAGGGGUAGUUCUGUUCUCAUGGACCUGAGAGGAGGGGUAGUUCAGUUCUUCUCAUGGACCUGAGAGGAGGGGUAGUUCUGUUCUUCUCAUGGACCUGAGAGGAGGGGUAGUUCAGUUAUUCUCAUGGACCUGAGAGGAGGGGUAGUUCUGUUCUUCUCAUGGACCUGAGAGGAGGGGUAGUUCUGUUCUCAUGGACCUGAGAGGAGGGGUAGUUCUGUUCUUCUCAUGGACCUGAGAGGAGGGGUAGUUCUGUUCUUCUCAUGGACCUGAGAGGAGGGGUAGUUCUGUUCUCAUGGACCUGAGAGGAGGGGUAGUUCUGUUCUUCUCAUGGACCUGAGAGGAGGGGUAGUUCUGUUCUCAUGGACCUGAGAGGAGGGGUAGUUCUGUUCUUCUCAUGGACCUGAGAGGAGGGGUAGUUCUGUUCUCAUGGACCUGAGAGGAGGGGUAGUUCUGUUCUUCUCAUGGACCUGAGAGGAGGAGUAGUUCUGUUCUUCUCAUGGACCUGAGAGGAGGGGUAGUUCUGUACUCAUGGACCUGAGAGGAGGGGUAGUUCUGUUCUCAUGGACCUGAGAGGAGGGGUAGUUCUGUUCUCAUGGACCUGAGAGGAGGGGUAGUUCUGUUCUCAUGGACCUGAGAGGAGGGGUAGUUCUGUUCUUCUCAUGGACCUGAGAGGAGGAGUAGUUCUGUUCUCAUGGACCUGAGAGGAGGGGUAGUUCUGUUCUCAUGGACCUGAGAGGAGGGGUAGUUCUGUUCUCAUGGACCUGAGAGGAGGGGUAGUUCUGUUCUCAUGGACCUGAGAGGAGGGGUAGUUCUGUUCUUCUCAUGGACCUGAGAGGAGGGGGGUAGUUCUGUUCUCAUGGACCUGAGAGGAGGGGUAGUUCUGUUCUUCUCAUGGACCUGAGAGGAGGAGUAGUUCUGUUCUCAUGGACCUGAGAGGAGGGGUAGUUCUGUUCUCAUGGACCUGAGAGGAGGGGUAGUUCUGUUCUCAUGGACCUGAGAGGAGGGGUAGUUCUGUUCUCAUGGACCUGAGAGGAGGGGUAGUACCAGAUGUUUCUAUAUUUGACUUCAAAAUAAAAUCUGCUUUGU
rnacentral:lncRNA from 1 species